rnacentral:rRNA from 1 species
CCUACGGGGGGCAGCAGUGAGGAAUAUUGGUCAAUGGACGAGAGUCUGAACCAGCCAAGUAGCGUGAAGGAUGACUGCCCUAUGGGUUGUAAACUUCUUUUAUAUGGGAAUAAAAUGUUCCACGUGUGGGCUUUUGUAUGUACCAUAUGAAUAAGGAUCGGCUAACUCCGUGCCAGCAGCCGCGGUAAUACGGAGGAUCCGAGCGUUAUCCGGAUUUAUUGGGUUUAAAGGGAGCGUAGGUGGAUUGUUAAGUCAGUUGUGAAAGUUUGCGGCUCAACCGUAAAAUUGCAGUUGAAACUGGCAGUCUUGAGUACAGUAGAGGUAGGCGGAAUUCGUGGUGUAGCGGUGAAAUGCUUAGAUAUCACGAAGAACUCCGAUUGCGAAGGCAGCUCACUGGACUGCAACUGACACUGAGGCUCGAAAGUGUGGGUAUCAAACAGGAUUAGAGACCCCUGUAGUC